rnacentral:lncRNA from 1 species
GAUUGUGACGCCUUAGACGUACAGGGGAGACUCUGUCCGCGGUAUAGGAAAAAUCUUGUCCGUUCGACGGUCUGUUGGCGUGCCCGAAUCGGACCAAAUAGGCGGGCUCAGGGCGUGACAACACUAGUAGGUGCUCCGUCAACGACUACACCUCCGUCAGCAAUAAUUUUGGAAAUACAGAUGUCGAGUGUGGAGACGUCAAGGGUAGGCGGAUAGUUGUCAGCAACAGAGAAUUAGGGGAAUGGAGCGAGGUUGGUAGACUUCCGU